UCUCAUCGCCUUCAUCCGAAACAAAAUCCCACCUUUAUCGGUUUUGCACUAAACCAGACCCACCAGCCACAAUUUGCGGUGGUUUUGAACCGCCGUAGCAAGAAGAACAAGCCGGAGAGAUAGAGAGUCUCAGUCAACGACUCCCGCAUAGAGAGAUAAAAGAGGGACAUCUUCAAGAACUGGGAAGGUUGUGCCUCUACACAGAAAAGGCAAAGAGUCUUUGUGCUUCUUCACUCUGUCUCCAAGUAGUUGACAAUAUCUUCCAACGCUUUGUAUGAGGAGCCUCCAAUUCUUACAGAGGCUUUGACCUUCUCUUUUAACACAAGGGCUCUCUCCCUCAUGUCUGCACCUUCUUCUUCUACAAUCAACCUCUUCAAAGCUCUCUCGACCCCUCCUCUUUCCACCUUACCUUGCAACUGAAACCCUAUUCCCCAAACACUCUCUAAACACAGUGCGUUUAACUUUUGCUCCCCGUCGAAAGGCAUGCAGAUCAUCGGAACUCCUUCCACAAUGCUCUCAAGCGUUGAGUUCCAUCCACAGUGGCUCCAGAAUCCUCCCACUGCAGGAUGUCCGAGUACUUCUAUCUGUGGUGCCCAUUUCACAAUGUACCCUUUCUCUGAGACCAUCUUACUAAAUUCUUCUGCCAUUCAAUGCAGCUCCUGUCCUCUUCUAGUAAACCAGAAAUUGCUGAAGAUUUAAGGUGAAGAGGACCUAAUGGGUACACCGGA